GCUGUGUUGCCAGACCUUUUGAUUGCUCAGUCGCUCAGGAAGACAGAAGUGCAGGCCUGUGUUUCUGUUUUUGUGAAGUAUUCUGAUUUGUGAAUGUUGACAACUAAUUCAGUUUUUAGAAAAACGCCAUAAGGAUCAAUUAAAGCCCACUCAUGGGGCUAUUCUACCUGUCCUGUGAAGCUGAUGGAAGCAGGCAUCCGUACCAGAGGGAAAAAUAGUGGAAAAGUGACUUUCCUGGUGUGGCUUUUCCUCGCAUCAGCGUGGUUUGACCUGAGAACUCGAUUGGUGCUUUGAUUCUGAUUCAGCCAGAGUGAGCCCUAUCCAUGACUCAAGCCACUUCACUGAGUUUGACGAUGGGGUUUGGGGCCAAAAUGCCAGCCACAGCACCACUUCACCUCCAGUGAUAACUUCCCUCACACUGGAAUACACAAAGGCUGCAGAGGUUCCAAAGAGAUCACGUGCUACGCGAGGAUCUGACAAGAUGGCGUGGUUCUGGAAUGAGCAGCAUGAGAGGAUGGCCUCGGGACCAGAUGCUGCUGGAGGCAAACCCGAUGAUCCAGUGUGGGUACCACAAGCCUCCUGCAUUUCUCCUACCAGGAAAGUCGUGAGUAAAGAGAAGUUUGGUAAAUCAACUCAGUGGUCCUAGCAACCUCCAUGACCAUUUCCAAUUGCUUCAUCUUUAGCUGACAGCACUUCUUACCUAACUUAGCCCAUAGCAUUUCUGUAAAGGAAGGUGAUGAGCUGUAAAUAAACUCUUAAAUGCACCCUGGGAGUACAUGGCUUACAGAAAUCCUUCUUUUAAAUAACAAUCUAUCUUUUUUUUUUUUUUUCCUGUUUCUUCCUAUUGCCCCAGCAGAAACAUGGGUUCACCUAGAAGCAGACCUUGAGAUGUGGGUUUAAGUACAAAUGGUUUAUUAGGGAGAUCAUGCCAGAAAACAACAGCACGAGAGUGGGAAGUGAUACUGGGAAGGGAAGGAAGUCAGUACAAGAUACGUCCUCGAGCAGGUUACUGCUGCGGGCAAGUGGGGCUCAAUCCUGCUGGGGAAUCUCUGGGAGACACCUCAGAUUUGUACCACCCGAGGGUGAGGAAGCUGGGGUAUUUAUAUACUGGCUGUAUCAGUCACUGGUGAAAGGCUGCUUGUGGGGAGGGGGUUGGUAAUAAUUUCCUAGCACUCUACCUUCUAAAUGGGUAGGGACUACUGAAAUCCAAGAAAGUUCUUGGAUAGUAAAUGCUGGCAGUUGGAAGGCAAGCCAAAUGAAAUGGCACGGGCAGGACAUCGACCAUCUGCUACACUUCGCUUCUCCGAGUAUGUUAUGUGUGAGGAGGUAGACUCCCCCUUGCACCCAAGAGUCACUAAAACAAUUUUUUUGGUAAGUGUUUUCUGUGUGCAUUUUCUUCAAAUCAAAAAAGGCUUUUAGAGACUUAUAAUUAGGAAAGUGAAGUCUUUCCUUCAAAAUAUUUUCUUUCUGCAGAAAUAAUAGGAAAUGGAACCGGUGGCCACAGCCAAUAGAUUAAUAUUGAGCCUUUUCAGAAUGCUCCCAUUCAUCAUUUUCAGUGAAUGGAUGAUAUAGAAGUAAACAUACAGCCUUUAUUCUUGAGAUUUGCUUUUAUGCCACCAUCAGUGGAUUUCCAUGCUUAGCAAAAUCUUGCCUCCUAGCUGCUUUUUGAAAGUGCCUGCAACAAGGAACCCUAGUACUGUGUUGGUGGGAAUGUAAAUUGCUGCAGCCAUAAUGGGGAAUAGCAUGGAGUUUCCUUAAACUAAAAUCUGAGUUACCAUAUGAUCCUGCGAUACGACUCCUGGGCACAUAUCCAGAGAAAACUCUAAUGCAAAAAGAUACAUGCACCCCAGUGUUCAUAGCAGCACUAGUUACACUAGCCAAGACAUGGAAGCAACCUAAAUGUCCAUCCACAGAUGACUGGAUAAAGAAGAUGUGAAAUUUUAUAUACACACAAACACACACAGUGGAAUAUCACUCAGCCUUAAAAAAUGAAAUAAUGCCAUCUGCAGAAACAUGGAUGGACCUAGAGAUAAUCAUAGUAAGUGAAGUCAGACAGAGAAAGACAAAUAGUAUGUGAUAUCACUUAUGUGUGGAAUCUAAAAAAAUUAUGCAAAUGAACUUACAAAACAGAAACAGACUCACAGACAUAGAAAACAAACUUAUGGCUACCAAAGGUGAAAGCAGGGAAGACAGGAAGGAUAAAUUGAAAGUUUGGGAUUCACGUACACAUACUACUAUAUAUAAAAUAAAUGACAAGGACCUACUGUAUAGCACAGGGAAUGAUAUUCAGUAUCUUGUAUAACCUAUAAUGGAAAAGAAUCUUAAAAAGAAUUGCUGUACGAAACUAACACAACAUUGUAAAUUAACUAUACUUCAGUUAAAAACCAAACCCAACAGGCUGUAAACAUGGCAUCAGCUUGUGAUGUGCUGCUGUCAUUGCAGUGCUGAAGUUCCAAAAAGAAAGUGUUGGCACAUCCCUGGGUACCUCGUAGACUAUGGUGUGGCAGACCUACCACUUGUAACUUGCCCAAGUAGGCAGGGGCCAAACAGAGGUAUGUGAUGGUGUCCUUUAUUCACAGGUACCAGCUCCUGAAAACUGAAAAGCAUGAUUAAACCCAGCCAUCUUAAAUCCCCAUGACAUAGCUUGGAGGCCCUGGAACCUCGUGUUCCUGGCAAAUCCGGCUGCUGUCUUUAUCCCUAAUGGCCCUCUGGCAGCUGAGCCAAUCAUGGCCUGGUUGGUGUCCUAUUGUUUUGAGGGUUGAUGAGUCUGUGAGUUCCUAACAUAGCUUCAGAGGGGAAUCUUGGUGAUGUGGAGAAUUAAGCUCAUGGAGUCUCUACUUGCACAUAGUUGCCACAAAAGAAUGGAGCUGACCUUUCCUUGAGAGGCAUGCUACGCUGGUGGACUGGCAUCUUGGCAAAAUGGAACCCAGAUCAGUUCUAUGUCCCAUCUGCCUCAGUGGUAGCCUGUAUCUGGAUCAGAUCCACUGACCAUUUCUCCUUUGACUCCUAAUUCUAGUCCCUGAUAGGUAAUUUGGGAGGCUUCAGAGCUAGAAAAACACUUAAAGAUCAUCCCGCCAACCUGUCUAUUUUACUGAUAAGGACCCUGCAUUCCAGCGAGGCUAAGUCAUUUGCCCUGAGUCCAACGGGAGACAAGAGGGGGGCUGUGGGGAGAGAGAGCCAGUCUUUUCUCACUGCCCAUGAAGCUAGUAAGUUAAAGCAGCAGGAUUUCUCACUGGAUUCAGGAGAAGUAAAUGAUUCGUGCCACAGAAUUUUUUGAACACCUGCUCAAGACAGUCCAAAGCACUGUGGGUCCAAGAAUGAGACCCGGUUCCCUUGGGGCUCCUACACGUUCUCCCCCUGUUCUCUUGAACUGUCUGCUUCAGCUCCUUGCUUCCCAGCUCUCUUCCCCUAUCUUCACUCCCAAUUCAUCCCCCAUCUCCCAGCCUGUUUUCUCAAUUUUCUUUUUUCUUUCUUUCCUUUUUUUUUUGGUGCUGAAACCCAGGAACUAUUUUCUCUCUUUUCUUACAGUCUAUGUCCUUCGUUCCAACUCCCCAAUUCCCUUCCCCCACCUUUCCCUGUUCUUAGUCUACCAGGUUUUCUUUCUCUCCUCUGUUAUUUUAUUUCUCCUCCUCCUAUUUAUCUAUCACCUCCCUUAAGCUCCCCCCAGUUGCCCCUUCCUAGGCACCCUUGCUCUCCCCUCUCCCAUCUUGAAUCCCGGAAGCAUCCUUGGUUAUCAUGGCAGGCAGCCUCUGAGAUGGCCAGUGGUCCCCACCUCCUUUCCCUCAUGGAAUCCCUUCACUUUCGGUAUGGGCUGGACCUUGUAACUCUAUUCUGACAAAUAAAAUAUGACCCAGAUGAUGGGCUAUCACUUCUAAGCUUAGUUUAAAAAAGGCUGUGGCUUCCAUCUUAGGUGCUCUUUGGCUCUGAGGAAGCCAGCUGCCAUGCUUACUGGCCUACUGAGUGGUCCACACAGCAAGGAACUGAAAUCUCCAGCCAACAGCCAAUGAGGACCUGAGGUCUGCUAACCACCACGUAUCUCCGGUUUUCUGCCUGGCUCAGUGUUUCUCCAACCUGGCUGUGCAUGAGAAUAACCCAAGGAGUUUAUGGGAAAGAUCCCCGCUUGGACUCCAUCCCAGGUGUAUUAGUUUGCUCCGGUUGCCAUAACAAAAUACCACACACUGGGUGACUUAAACAAUAGCAAUUUAUUUACUCAUAGUUCUGGAGGCUAGAAGUCCAAGAUCAAGGUGCUGUCAGGGUUGGUUCCUGGUGCAGCCUCUUCUAGGGUUUGCAGAUGGCCACCUUCCUCCUCAUGACCCCACAUGGCCUUUUCUCUGUGCAUGUACUGGGAGAGGGCUCCAGAGAGCUCUGGUGUCUCUCUUCUUAUAAGGACACCAGUCCUAUCAGAUGAGGGCUCCACUCUAUGACCAUCUAGCCUUAAUUACCCCCUUAAAGGCCUUAUCUCCAAAUACAGUCACAUUGCAGGUUAGGGCUUCAACAUAUGAAUUUGCAGGGGAACACAGUUCAGUCCUGUGAUACUGUGAUUUAUAAUAAGAAAUAUAGAUUUGGUCUUCACUCACUGUUCCUGGCACACGGUUUCCAAAACCUUUGUGAAGAGCCAUAGAGGCAUCUUUUGUUACAUUAUGAAGUUUCCAUCUCAGUUCUUGAAAUAGCUUCAGCACUUAAAGGUGAAAUGGGUGUCUUUUGUUAUUCAUAACAAGCCCCUUUCAACUACACUGAGUUUAUGUUAAUGAGGUGAAUUUGGAAAGCCUCUAAGGAGGGGGGCUGGUUGCCAGGGGAGCCAACCACAAUUAGAGGGUUGGAAUUUCUAGUCUCACAUCCCAGGCCCCCACCCCCAUCUCUGGGAAGGGGAGAGGGGCUGGAGAUUGAGUUCAGUCACCAAUGACCUAUACACCAAUGUAACACAGCUAUGUAAUGAGCCCUCUAUAAAAACCCAAAAGGAUGGGGUUUGGAGAGCUUCCAGGUUGAUAAACAAGUAUGCAUCCACGUGCUGGGAGGGUGGCACACCCUGAACUCCACUGGGACAGAAGCUCCUGUGCUCAGGACCCUUCCAGACCUCACCCUAUGUAUCUCUCCAUCUGAUUGUAUCCUUUAAUGCCCUUUGUAAUAAACUUGUAAUCAAGUGAGUUAA